rnacentral:rRNA from 1 species
UACGGGGGGGGCAAGCGUUGUUCGGAAUUACUGGGCGUAAAGGGUGCGUAGGCGGCUUUCUAAGUUGGAUGUGAAAACUCUGGGCUCAACCCAGAGCCUGCAUCCAAAACUGGAGAGCUUGGGUACUGGAGGGGAAAGCGGAAUUCCGGGUGUAGCGGUGGAAUGCGUAGAGAUCCGGAGGAAGACCGGUGGCGAAGGCGGUCUGCUGG